GUGCAUCCAGGGGUGUUGAGUGCGCUGGGUGCUUUUGCACUGAGGUAGUUCGUAGGAUCAUAGAAUCGUUUAAGUUGGAAGGGACGUUCAAAGACUAUCUAGUGCAGCUCCCCUACAGUGAGCAGGGACACCUACAGCUCCAUCAGGGUGCUCAGAGCCCAGCCCAGCCUGACCUUGCGUGUCUCCAGGGAUGGGGCAUCCACGACCUCUGUUGGCAAGCUGUCCCAGUGCCUCACCACUCUUAUCAUAACAACCUUCCUCCUUAUAUCCAAUCGAAAUCUCCCAUCUUUUAGUUUCCUUUGUCCUUUCACAACAAGUAUUUGAGGUGGUGCUGUUUCAAAGCACGAACUGCUUCCUGUGCAGGGAAGAAGAAACUCCGUCUAAAAGACACGGCAGAGUUUGUGAGGGCUGGAACAAGUCUGUGCCACUGUCAGUUGGGGGGGAAGAAGGGGAACCACCCGUCCAUCACCUGACUGCAAAAAAUGUUUGUAUUCUUCAAGUACUGUUCUACAAUUGUUCCUGCAUGAGAAUCAGAUAUUGCCCGCAAACUUGGAUGGCAUGUAAAACAGAUAUUAACAAGUGAUAAGAUUGUCCCUUCUAGUGCUACAAAUCCAGUCCUGGGCGACUUUUGCAUUCUGUCUGUCACUGGCAGCUUUUUCAAACUCUCCAGUCAUAACCCAAGUAGAGACUUCACUUUGAGAUGCCCUCUGUGGUCUUCACAGCCAGUGCAGGUCCUGUACUGCCCUUGCGCUAUAAGAGGAUGAGAGUAUGUAGAUGGGCCUGGCAAAAGCUGGCACUACAUCUCCUGCCUUGCCUCCCUGCUGUGCGCUUUCAGUCCUGAACAGGGCGAGAAGAACCCCCACAGACCUUCCCAGAAGUUUCCCCAGAGCUCCGUCCGCCCUGGCAGAGCUUUUGCUCCUCUCCCGGUGGUUGCCUUGAGUACAGCAAGAUGUGAGUGCCACCUGGUGCUCGCACUGCUGCCUGGCAAGGAAAUAAAUGCCACAGCAGCUAAAGAGGAUGUGGAACUUUCUGUAAAUCACCGCCAGGCUUGUAUUAACCAAUAAAAAUAAAUUCCC
ensembl:lncRNA